rnacentral:lncRNA from 1 species
GGAAGGUGGAGGCUGCAGUGAGCUGAGAUCGUGCCAUUGCACUCCAGCCUGGGCAACAAGAGUGAAACGCCAUCUAAAAAAAAAAAAGGUAACAAAAAACUCUCCCUCAAAUUCGUGUUGAUACCUAAUUCCCAAUGUGAUAACAUUUGGAGGUGCGGCCUUUGGGAGGUGAUGCAGUCAUGAGGGUGGAGACCUCAUGAAUGGGAUUAGUGCCCUUAUAAAAGAGACCACCAGAGAGCUUCCUCUCCCCUUCCUUCAUCUGAGGACACAGUGAGAAGCCAGCUGUCUAUGAACCAGAAAGCAGGCCCUCAUCACACAUUGAUUCUGCUGGCGUUUUGAUCUUGGACUUCCCAGCCUCCCUGUGAGAAAUGAAUUUCUGUUGCUUACAGGCCACCUGGUCUAUAGUCCUCUGUUACAGCAGCCUGAAUGAACCAAGACACCCAUGUACACAUUUACAAACAAAACAAGUACGGCCUAGCCCACAUUCUCAGGAGCUUACAAUUUUCCUUUAAGUAAAGUUACGUGGGAAGACCCUGAACUGUGGAGCAAAAAGGGCCUGCGUUGAGACUAGCUCUCCUGCUUGUCGUGCUGUGGUCUUGAGAAGCACCUGAACUCUUUGACCCCUUUCUCCUCAUCUGUGGAAUUAGGGUAACUAUGCCAUUCCCCAGGCUUGCUACCAGGAGGAGAAUGCGGGGACAGACUUGGGAGCAGCUCACAUUCCUGAAGAAGUUAACGUUCUAAGAUAAUAAAAGAAGGCGUGCAAGAAGAUCUAUAUGCAGUGACGUGCAAAGGUAUCAAGAACAAGUUGCGAAACCCCAUGGUAUGAUUUCAUCUGAUUAAAAGAAAAAAGGUGGUAGGUGCUGAAUGGUUGAAUAAAUGAACAGUCCUAAAAUGGAUAUAUUUUGGGGCAACAGUAAGUUGCCCCCAGGAAGAAAAUCACUUUUGGAAAAUAAAACUGGCAAGAAUCUAUGCUAAAUGGAUGAGACCAGCCACAGAAGCACUUCAUCCUAAAAGAUGGCAGAUCCCUACCUCUCCUCCCUUAGGGGAGGACGAAGGUGUCCCAGCCAAGGAAGAUCCUGGUCUCCAAGGGCUGUACCCUACUGAUCCGGAGGCAAAGCAGUGAGGGCCCACCCCAAUUCCUCACCUCCCAUUCUACUCUUCGGCAGAAGCAUCUCAGUGUUGGAAAGAUAAGGAUUUCUUCCUAAAAAGGAAGGAUUACACUAUAUCAGAGUCUGAAGAUACAGUUUUCAUUUGCAACGCAAGGGAAUUCCUUUGAAUCUCUACCUUAUGAUUUCCCUGCAAACCCACUCCGAUGGGGCUGGAGAGUGCUCUCUCACUCAGAUGAAUCUCUCAG